rnacentral:piRNA from 1 species
UGACAGAAAAUGUUCGGCCUAGUGUCUUC